GGGUCUCACAUUUCAUUUCACUUUAAAUUGGAUUCUUACCGGUGAUUCGGUUCCGGUAUCGGUAAGUAUUCAUUAUUCACGUUAUCCAUUCAAGAGAGUUGAUUAAUAGAUUCCGGCGAAGUAUAGAGGAGACGGAGGGAUAAAGAAACCAUGAGUGUGUUUGGAGGAGAUAGCUGGGCGAGGGAAGCGCAAUGUAGGAAGAGAAGAGUCGAUGAAUUGAUGGUUGACAACAUCGAUUCUUCUGCUUAUAAGAAGCUCUCCAGCGGUAAAUUCGUCUGCAUCGUUUGCUCUCACCGUCCGGUCCUCGACACUCCCCUCAUGCUCUCUGUACAUGUCAAAGGUUCAAGC
rnacentral:misc_RNA from 1 species